ensembl:lncRNA
CACACAACAUCAUAUGACGUUAAUAUUAGAUUAGAUUUAGGUCGCGACGUCAGGUAACCAAAAUUCAAUGUCAAGCCAACGUCUAAUGACAAUGUUAAAUUGACGUCCAAGACCAACAUCAGCUGACGUUGAUAUUUGGUUGUUUUUUUAGGUUGUGUUAUAAAGUAACCAAAAUCCAACGUCGAGCCAACGUCUCAAGCCAACGUCAUAUUGACAUCAAAUACUGAUAUUUAGUCGUCAGGUAUGACAACCAUAAUCCAACGUUUCCUAGACGUCAUAAUGGCAACGUCCACACAACGUCAAAUUAAAACAUCAUUUGAUGUUGAUCUGUAGUUAGUUUUAGGUUGUGGCAUUAACUAACCAAAAUCCAACGUCGAGCCAACGUCUCAAGCCAACGUCACAUUGACAUCAAAAACUUAUGUUUUGUCGUCAGGUAUGGCAACCAUAAUCCAAUGUCUUCAAGACGUCAUAAUGGUAACGUCCAAUCAACGUCAAAUUAUAACGUCAUUUGACUUUGAUCUUUAGUUAGUUUUUAGGUUGUGGCAUUAACUAACCAAAAUCCAACGUUGAGCCAACGUCUCAAGCCAACGUCACACUGACAUCAAAUACUGAUGUUUUGUCGUCAGGUAUGGCAACCAAAAUCCAACAUCUUGUAGACGUCAUUAUGGUAACGUCCGAUCAACGUCAAGUUAUAACAUCAUUUGAUGUUGAUCUGUAGUUAGUUUUAGGUUGUGGCAUUAACUAACCAAAAUCCAACAUCAAGACAACGUCUCAAGCCAACGUCAGAUUGACAUCAAAUACUGAUGUUUAGUCGUCAGGUAUGGCAACCAAAAUCCAAUGUCUUCAAGACGUCAUAAUGGUAACGUCCAAUCAACGUCAAAUUAUAACGUCAUUUGACUUUGAUCUUUAGUUUGUUUUUAGGUUGUGACAUUAACUAACCUAAACCCAACGUCGAGCCAACGUCUCAGGCCAACGUCACAUUGACAUCAAAUACUGAUAUUUAGUCGUCAGGUAUGGCAACCAUAAUCCAACGUUUUCUAGACGUCAUAAUGGCAACGUCCACACAAUGUCAAAUUAUAACAUAAUUUGAUGUUGAUCUGUAGUUAGUUUUAGGUUGUGGCAUUAACUAACCAAAAUCCAGCAUCAAGACAACAUCUCAAGCCAACGUCACAUUGACAUCAAAAACUUAUGUUUUGUGUUUGAUUUUUUUAUCUGUUGGUAUUUGAUAGAAUCCAUGAUGUCAUGUAUCUAAACAAGAUAUCCAGGACCUCCAGCAGAAAUAUAGGCCCAGAAAAUAAAAAAUACAGCAGUAUAUUUCAUUGUACACAUGGGGUACUUUUUUCUCUCUGUGCUCACCAAACCCAUCUUGAGUGUUUGCUGCUAAAAAGCUCAUUUUUUAGUUUCAUCUGAUCAUAGAAGCCAUUCCCAUGUAAAGUUCCAGUCUUGGCUGAUAACUGAAUAUGCUUUAGUUUGUUUUUGAAUGAGCUAGGAGAAUUUUUCUUGUAACCCUC